CCAUCACAUCUGAAGGCCCUGAAAACUGACUAAUUACUAUGAUGUACGACUGGAUUACUAAGUUAACAAGACUGCUGCUGAAUUCUCUAACAGAGCUGUUUCUCUGAAGCUGCCUCUGCAUCCCAGCUGACCCAGCGAACUCUGCCUUUCCGGAUCCGUCGGUUAUGUCUGGCCAAUCGCAUUGUUAAGGGCAGGAAGCCAAGGCUGAACAUCAUUAAGUCCCAGUCCCUGAGAGAGUAACAUCUGAUUUCUAGACUGUGGUCCUCUAAGCAUCCAUCCACCCCUGUCUGCUUUAAUUUCCACAUCCACUACACCUUGGCAAGGAAGCCUCUUCAGGACUUCCACCAAUACAUAAAACUAACUGCUGAAGAGCAC